UACGUAGGGCGCAAGCGUUGUCCGGAAUUAUUGGGCGUAAAGAGCUCGUAGGCGGCCUGUUGCGUCCGCUGUGAAAUCCCGGGGCUCAACCCCGGGCCUGCAGUGGAUACGGGCUGGCUGGAGGCAGGCAGGGGAGAACGGAAUUCCUGGUGUAGCGGUGAAAUGCGCAGAUAUCAGGAGGAACACCGGUGGCGAAGGCGGUUCUCUGGGCCUGGUCUGACGCUGAGGAGCGAAAGCGUGGGGAGCGAACAGG
rnacentral:rRNA from 1 species